GUAAGUUCUUUGGAGUUGAGUUUAUUUGAGAGUCUCCUUGUUAUCUCUUUGUACAGAAGUUGUAUGGUAGGUUGUCUGUCGAAAUUCAGUAGAUUGUUAGGGCUUAAUUCUCUAGGCUGCUAGGUUAUAAUCUAACGACCGUUGGGAUAGAAAAUCUACUUACUAUCUUACAAAUCAAAGUUGUUAGCCAUGGAUGUCAGCCGCA
rnacentral:lncRNA from 1 species